rnacentral:rRNA from 1 species
CACGUAGGGCGCAAGCGUUGUCCGGAAUUAUUGGGCGUAAAGAGCUCGUAGGUGGUUUGUUACGUCUGCUGUGAAAACCUAGGGCUUAACCCUGGGCUUGCAGUGGAUACGGGCAGACUAGAGGUAGGUAGGGGAGAAUGGAAUUCCCGGUGUAGUGGUGAUAUGCGUAGAUAUCGGGAGGAACACCUGUGGCGAAGGCGGCUUUCUGGGCCCUACCUGACGCUGAGACGCGAAAGCGUGGGGAGCGAACCGG